rnacentral:rRNA from 1 species
UACGGGGGGGGUAAGCGUUGUUCGGAAUUACUGGGCGUAAAGGGCGCGUAGGCGGCCUCUUAAGUCGAACGUGAAAUCCCCGGGCUCAACCCGGGAACUGCGUCCGAUACUGGGAGGCUUGAAUCCGGGAGAGGGAUGUGGAAUUCCAGGUGUAGCGGUGAAAUGCGUAGAUAUCUGGAGGAACACCGGUGGCGAAGGCGGCAUCCUGGACCGGUAUUGACGCUGAGGCGCGAAAGCUAGGGGAGCAAACGGG